ACCACAACGGGUGGAGCUUGCGGUUUAAUUGGAUUCAACGCCGGAAAUCUUACCGGGACCGACAGCAAUAUGAAGGCCAGGCUGAAGACUUUGCCGGAUUAGCUGAGAGGUGGUGCAUGGCCGUCGUCAGUUCGUACUGUGAAGCAUCCUGUUAAGUCAGGCAACGAGCGAGACCCACGCCAACAGUUGCCAGCUCGUCCUCCGGGAUGGUGGGGACACUGUUGGGACCGCUCUGCUAAAGAGGAGGAAGGAAUGGGCAACGGUAGGUCAGCAUGCCCCGAAUUAUCUGGGCUACACGCGGGCUACAAUGGGUGGGACAAUGGGUAUCGACACCGAAAGGUGAAGGCAAUCUCCUAAACCCAUCCGUAGUUCGGAUUGUGGGCUGCAACUCGCCCACAUGAAGCUGGAAUCUGUAGUAAUCGUGUCUCAAAAUGGCACGGUGAAUAUGUCCCUGCUCCUU
rnacentral:rRNA from 1 species